rnacentral:misc_RNA from 1 species
UUUCCGUAGGUGAACCUGCGGAAGGAUCAUUACCGAGUACGGGCGCCCCGCGCGCCCCAACCUCCAACCCUUUGUUUGUACCAAGUACGUUGCCUCGGGGGGCGACCCGGCCCCCGUGCCGGGCGACCCCAGAGGUGCAACCCAAACCCUGCAUCUUUGCGUCGGAGUAUUGAAAGCAAAUCAAUCAAAACUUUCAACAACGGAUCUCUUGGUUCUGGCAUCGAUGAAGAACGCAGC